rnacentral:tRNA from 1 species
GGUGGCUCUGUGGUAGAGCGCUUGCCUAGCAUGCCUGAGGCCCUGGGUUCGAUUCCCCAGCACCA